CAAAGACAGAUAGCGAAAAGGGCCCUCAAUGGAGUGAGAACCCAAGAAUACACCAUCAACAUUCCCAAGCACAUCCAGGGAGUGGGUUUCGAGAAGCAUCCUCCUGAGCACACUCAAAAGCCUCUGGAAAUUUGCCAUGAAGGCGAUGGGGACUCCAGAAGUGCACAUUGAUACCAGGCUCAACAAAACUGUCUGAGCUAAAGGAAUAAGCAACGUCCUAUGCUGUAUCCAUGUGCAGUUGUCCAGAAAACAUAAUCAGAAUGAAGAUUCACCAAACAAGCUCUACACUUCAGUUACCUAUACCUAUUACCACUUUCAAAUACCUACUGAUAGUCAACGUGGAUGACA
rnacentral:lncRNA from 1 species